rnacentral:tRNA from 1 species
GGGCUGUAGCUCAGUGGUAGAGCGCUUGCCUUGCACAUAUAAGGCACUGAGUUCAAUCCUCAGGACCA